UUAAAUUAUUAAGGGCGUAUGGUGGAUGCCUUGGCAUUAGAAGACGAUGAAGGACGCGACAAACAGCGAUAUUGCUUCGGGGAGUUGUAAGUAAACUUUGAUCCGGAGAUCUCCGAAUGAGGAAACUCACCCAUUAGGGUAUCAUAAAGUGAAUACAUAGCUUUAUAGAAGUCAACCCCGUGAACUGAAACAUCUUAGUAACGGGAGGAAAAGAAAGAAAAAUCGAUUGCCUGAGUAGUGGCGAGCGAAACGGCAACAGCCCAAACCAGUCUUAGGACUGGGGUUGUAGGACACUAAUAUACGGAGUUACCAAGUUUUAUGAUAGCAGAACACUUUGGAAAGAGUGACCAUAGGAAGUGAUAGUCUUGUAUGCGAAAUCAUGAAACCUCUAUAGUGUAUCCUGAGUACGGCGGGACACGAGAAAUCUUGUCGGAAUCUGUGGGGACCAUCCCAUAAGGCUAAAUACUCUCUAAUGACCGAUAGUGAACAAGUACCGUGAGGGAAAGGUGAAAAGAACCCCGGGAGGGGAGUGAAAUAGAGAAUCUGAAACCAUAUGCUUACAAAAAGUUCGAGCCCAUUAACGGGUGAGAGCGUGCCUUUUGCAGAAUGAGCCGGCGAGUUAUGGUAUUGUGCAAGGUUAAGUGGAAAACACGGAGCCGAAGCGAAAGCGAGUCUUAAUAGGGCGAUUUAGUACAAUGCUGUAGACCCGAAACCGGGUGAUCUAGCCAUGAGCAGGUUGCCGUUGGGGUACUACCCAACGGAGGGGCGAACCAGGGUACUAUGUAACGUGCUUGGAUGACUUGUGGCUAGCGGUGAAAUUCCAAUCGAACUCGGAUAUAGCUGGUUCUCCCCGAAAUAGGUUUAGGCCUAGCCUUGAAUUAUUUCAUCCUGGAGGUAGAGCACUGAAUGUGGAAUGGCCGCGUCUAGCGGUACUGACUGCAAUCAACCUCCGAAUGCCAGGAAUUGUAGAUUCAGGAGUCAGUGUAUGAGGUGAUAACGUCCAUACGCGAGAGGAAAACAAUCCAGACCAUCAACUAAGGUCCCUAAAUAUAUGUUAAGUGGGAAAGGAUGUGGAGACGCACGAACAGCUAGGAGGUUGGCUUAGAAGCAGCCAUCCUUUAAAGAGUGCGUAAUAGCUCACUAGUCGAGUAUCUCUGCGCCGAAAAUGUACCGGGGCUAAACAUAUUACCGAAGUUAUGGAUUUAUAAUUUAUUAUAAAUGGUAGGGGAGCGUUCUAAGGGCGCUGAAGGUAGAUCGUGAGGACUACUGGAGCGCUUAGAAGUGAGAAUGCCGGUGUGAGUAACGUAAGGUAGGUGAGAAUCCUACCCACUAUUUGACCAAGGUUUCCAGGGUCAAGUUCGUCUUCCCUGGGUUAGUCGGGACCUAAGGCGAGGCUGAAAAGCGUAGUCGAUGGACAACAGGUUUAUAUUCCUGUACUGCUUAUAGGACUGAUGGAGUGACGGAGAAAGCUAGAAAGAGCCAGUUAUUGGAUUCUGGUCUAAGCGUUUAGGUUGAUGCACAGGAAAAUCCGUGAUAUCGAUAAGACUGAAGCGUGAUGGCGACGUGGUCUACGGACCGCUAAGUCUUUUGAAGCUAUGCUUCCAAGAAAAACUUCUAAAGAUAUGUUAUAAGUACCCGUACCUAGAACCAACACAGGUGGUCAAGGAGAGAAUCCUAAGGUGAGCGAGAGAACUAUGGUUAAGGAACUCGGCAAAAUGACCCCGUAACUUCGGGAGAAGGGGUGCUCCGGAAACGGAGCCGCAGUGAAAAGUCCCAGGCGACUGUUUACCAAAAACACAGGUCUCUGCGAAAGCGAAAGCUGAAGUAUAGGGGCUGACGCCUGCCCGGUGCUGGAAGGUUAAGGGGAUGUGUUAGAGCAAUCGAAGCACUGAACUUAAGCCCCAGUAAACGGCGGCCGUAACUAUAACGGUCCUAAGGUAGCGAAAUUCCUUGUCGGGUAAGUUCCGACCC
rnacentral:rRNA from 1 species